rnacentral:hammerhead_ribozyme from 1 species
AUCCAGUUGACGAGUCCCAAAUAUGACGAAACGCGUGUCCUGGAU